UCAAACAUAUGUAGAGGAAAUUGUAAUAACAUAAUCUUUAAAGUUGGCUUCCUGACCUCUAUUCCAAUUAUAUUUUAUGUGUUUUCAGACUUGCCUCUGGCAUUGAUGGCAUUCCUGCUCAAGUGAAGGUGACAAAGCAUCCAUGGAACAGUGUCCCUAAUCACAGUGAUAAGAAGCAGUCUGUAACCCUCUGUGGGAAAUAGCUUUUGGGAGGAUGGCAGAAAGUUGAGAGGGAGAGACAGAAGAUGAGAAGCAUAACCUCUGUCAAACUGGCUGAGCAUCGAAAAUGGAGGCCCAGAGAAAUAGAUGAUGUCAUUAGGGGCACAGCCGGUGCCUGGUCCCAGAAAAGCCUCUCAGGUGGAA